rnacentral:lncRNA from 1 species
UGCUUUUUUUAACUUUAGAAAAUCAAGCAGGUUAGAGAAAACAGAGAUUAGUGGAUGCUUUCUUUACAGAUUUAUUUAUUUAUAAGGAGAAGAAAAGAGCUCCAUAAAUACUUGACAGGAUUUGCCCUGCUUUAAACAAUGAGUGAUGCUUAGGGGAAUGUAAUAAAGAACAAAAGCUCCUUUGGCUGUGUUUUGAGACCUUCACUUGGCUAAAGAGAUGAUUCGGAUAUGGCUCUUUUUGCACUGUUUCAUGAUUGUGCACUCAGAAGUUACAACUUUCUUCAACUUUCUUCUUUCUUGGUCUAGACUACACUGUUUGUCCCAGGUAGAGCAUCACUAUCAUGCCUCACACCAAGUAAGAUUUUUCCCUGAGCCUGAAAUAAUUUAUUUUCUUAGUAUUCAUUGUAAUAAGCAUUAAGAGGGCAUGUGGAGCUGAGGACAGAGCCCUGGUUACCAGCAAGGGGAGGGGACAGGGAGGCAGAGGAAGUGGAGCCCACGGGAAGAUAAAGUGGUCAGAGAGGGUGACAGAACAGGGAGAGUGGCUCAUCACAGAAGCUAGGGGAGUAAAGUAUCUUAGGUUUUUUAGGUGAGAGAUUAAAAAUGUAC